UACUCCUCCCCCUUUUCUGUGCUACCUUCUCCAUCCCCACUAUAACAGCGAAAGAGAGAACAACAGGAGGGCAAUCUCUAUUCCUCCCCACGUCCGACGGUGCUCAAACGACGGCGAGUGGCGGCGCCCCUAUAGUUCCCCUUGCCGGCGUGCGCGAACUCCCGCCGGAGAGCGCGCCGCUGUCAAGUGGUCCUGUGGAGGUGCCCUUUGCCCCGAAGGGUUGUUCUUCGUCCCCGCACCUCGGCUUGCCGAUGCGUGUGGGGAUCGAUAGGAACAAGCGCGGCCGGAGUGGCGGCGCACUUUGCCGGCAAGGCCCGAGGCCCUCUGUCGGUAAUCUUUUCCUUUGCCCUCUGAUUAUGGUUCUUCGGAGGGGGUCUUUUUCUUUCUCUGUUUUUCCUUUGUACCGAAAUCAAUCUAGAUCCUAGCCUGUCUGAUACCA